GAAAAAAACAUAUUUUAUCAUUUGAUUAAAAAGCGCAUAGAGAGAUAUGUGACUUAUUUAUGUUAAAAAGUUAAGUAUUUGGGCACUCAACUUGCAUUCCAUCCCAUAGUAUGCAAGCCUCCCUAGUCAAUUUUCUUUGGGACGCAGAUUACCGGUCGUGGUGGAGACUUUAUUGCUGAUGUUAAGUCUAGGUCAAUUGCCUGAAAAACAUAAUUGUGAAUUAUAACUUUUGUUAUUAAAUUUAAUUUAAAGAAGGCUGUCAGCCUUUAAAUACAGCUGCAUAUCGAACUGCAUUUAUCGUGAACCGACCAUCAGUGAAACCUAGAUAUCUAAAACCCUGUUCAAAUUUUCAAUCGAUUACACAGGUACACCUAGAGCUCCUCGCCGGAACUGAAGAAAGUACUGUAAGCCUACUGGGUUUCUCGAUAGUAACAUUACGCAUCAAAUAAUAAUAUUACAAUAUUUUUUUUAAAAUAAAAAGUUCAAUUGUGUUGAUACGAUCAGAUUAAUUACCUAGAUGUAAAUACGUUCCUACUCCAUUUUAUUUUUGUUGGCAGUUUGUCCAAUAUCAAAGUUGAAUGAGAGUGUAGCGUAUGAUAAGUAUUGGGAUCAUUUCCACAUAAUGGGAUAUAAUUGGCUGCCACUGAAAAUGAAUCGGUGACAAAUGGCCUGGAUUGGUAACUAACUAAAGUGCAAAUACUAAUAAGUGAAUUUACCCUCUAUUUUCAAGAUUCUAUUUUUUCUGGUCUAUAGAAAGGUGGUGGGGGGGGGGGGGGGGAAUCAUCAGUUGACGAUUCAUUGAAGCAAAAUUCGUAUCGAAACAUAAUUAAUAUCGAAGCAAAAUUACUAUCGAGGCAAAAUUAUUAUCAAAGCAAAGUUCGUAUCGAAGCAAAAUUCUUAUUGAAGCAAAAUUCGUGUCAAAGCAAAAACCAUAUCAUCGCAUUGUUUCGUAAACGGCGUUUCAUAUUUUAAAGUGUUUUCAUUGAUCUUAUACCUGUAUAUUCAUUAUUAUAGAUCUCACCGCCAGAGGCAAUCUAAAGCAUUGUUGAAGACAGUUUGCUUGACGUUUACAAGCUGACCGGUUCCUCAUACCAAAUAAGACGCAUCUCCUAACAAUUUGUAGUACCAAAACAAAUCAACUGAACCAAGAUUUAGAGUCGACUGCUAAACUUAAUUACAUUUUAUUAUGUAACUAUUGGUUGCAUAAUGCAAUGUUUGGUCCAAUGAUGUAGUUGGGUGAAAAAACAGUUGACAUCACCAGAUACCUGUAAACAGCUGUAAGCUCCAGUCUGUAUACAAAAUCACAGAAUUAGCUGCACUCGAUGUAAAAUCAGAUGCAUAUGAUGUAAAGAAUGUUAACAAUCGUACUUCAAGAAAAAUAUGUACAGUGCCGGAUUCAAAAGGUGGUUGGGGGACACCUGGUUCGGGCCCCCUAAGGUUAAUCUGGCUAUUGUGUGGGGAUUCCUGAUGAGCACCACUGGAUCAAGGAGAAUUGUGGUACACGUGGUAUGCGGUGUUAUUUGAUCAAAACAAAUAGCUUUCCGAUGACUCUCAACAUUAUUACAACGAUCAUACUCCACUUAUUUAGCAGUUCCAGUUCUGUUUCUAUACCUAAGUAAUGGCUGUUACAUUACUUGCUGUAAUAUCCUGUAUAUUUGUUCCGAUGGUGACACCAUAUAGGCCCAGUGAACGUGUGGUAUUCUCAUGUAACUUCGAUACCGACUUCUGCGAUUUUGAAAAAGUUGCUUCACAACAUUUAGAAUGGAUUCGAGGUGAAGAGUCGGAAACAAGGGACGGAAAUAAUAGAGG